ACACACAAGCACCAAGACCCAUAAGAGCUACAGCACCAAGAGGUAAAGGUUGAGUAAUAAUCCCAACAAUUGUAGCUAGAAAGAUAGCCAAUAACUGCCAUGCAUUUUUUGUAACACCAGCAGGUGCAGGGAUAAACCAGAGAAUAACCCCUGUUGCUAUUGAAGCAAUCAAAGGCUUCAUUGCUGCACCUUGCCAUGGAGGCUGCUGCUGUGGAACUAUUGCAGGGGAAGAAGAAGCUGAAGCUGAAGCUGAAGCCUUUACAAUAACCCUUCUUGAUUUCUCAAGAUUCAAUCUUUUCCCUCCAAGAUUCAAGCUUUUUCCAAG
rnacentral:lncRNA from 1 species